AGAGUUUGAUCCUGGCUCAGGAUGAACGCUGGCGGUAUGCUUAACACAUGCAAGUCGAACGGAACUCUUCGGAGUUCAGUGGCGGACGGGUGAGUAACGCGUGAGAAUCUGGCUUCAGGUUCGGGACAACCAUUGGAAACGAUGGCUAAUACCGGAUGUGCCGCAGGGUGAAAGAUUAAUUGCCUGAAGAUGAGCUCGCGUCUGAUUAGCUAGUUGGUGGGGUAAGAGCCUACCAAGGCGACGAUCAGUAACUGGUCUGAGAGGAUGACCAGUCACACUGGGACUGAGACACGGCCCAGACUCCUACGGGAGGCAGCAGUGGGGAAUUUUCCGCAAUGGGCGAAAGCCUGACGGAGCAAUACCGCGUGAGGGAGGAAGGCUCUAGGGUUGUAAACCUCUUUUCUCAGGGAAGAAUAAAAUGACGGUACCUGAGGAAUAAGCAUCGGCUAACUCCGUGCCAGCAGCCGCGGUAAUACGGAGGAUGCAAGCGUUAUCCGGAUUUAUUGGGCGUAAAGCGUCCGCAGGUGGCAGUUCAAGUCUGCUGUCAAAGGUCGGGGCUCAACCCCGAACAGGCAGUGGAAACUGAACAGCUAGAGUACGGUAGGGGCAGAGGGAAUUCCCAGUGUAGCGGUGAAAUGCGUAGAGAUUGGGAAGAACACCGGUGGCGAAAGCGCUCUGCUAGGCCGAAACUGACAUUCAUGGACGAAAGCUAGGGGAGCGAAUGGGAUUAGAUACCCCAGUAGUCCUAGCCGUAAACGAUGGAUACUAGGCGUUGUGAGUAUCGACCCUCACAGUGUCGUAGCUAACGCGUUAAGUA
rnacentral:rRNA from 1 species